AUCCAGAGAGCUGAAAUCCCUUGAAUAAGGUCACAGGGCCAGGAGCUGGCAGGGCUGGGAUUUGAACCUGGCCAUCCGGCUCCAGUCACAGAUGGGUGCUGGAAGCUGAGCCAACACUGGGCCACCAGGCAAGUUGCAGACAGCUGUGGUGGGGUGUGAAGAGGAGGCAUGUUCUGCUUUUAUCGGCCAGACAGACGGCCCACGUAUGAACCGGAGGUGGUGGUGGACUUCAUCUCUGACCCGGGCACAACUGACCUCAGCAAAGGUCUGGUACCAAGGUCAUUUCAGAAUAUUGAGUAGAGUUCCACGUGCUAUACAGUAGGUCCUUAUUAGUUAUCUGUUUUACAUAUAGUAGUGUGUAUAUGUCAACUCCAAUCUUCCAAUUUUUCUCUCCCCUCCCUUUCCCCUUUGGUAACCAUAAGUUUGUUUUCUACAUCUGUGACUCUAUUUCUGUUUUGUAAAUAAGUUCAUUUGUACCAUUUUUUUAGAUUCCACAUGUAAGUGAUAUCAUAUGAUCUUUGUCUUUGUCUGACUUCUUUCACUCAGUAUGACAGUCUCUAGGUCCAUCCAUGUUGCUGCAAAUGGCACUAUUUCAUUUUUCGUGGCUGAGUAAUAUUCCAUUGUAUAUAUGUAUCACAUCUUCUUUAUCCAUUCCUCUGUCGAUGGGCAUUUAGGUUGCUUCCAUGUCCUGGCUAUUGUAAACAGUGCUGCAGUGAACAUUGGGGUGCAUGUGUCUUUUUGAAUUAUGGUUUUCUCCGGAUGUAUGCCCAGGAGUGGGAUUGCUGGAUCAUAUGGUAGCUCUAUUUUUAGCUCUUUCCGCAACCUCCAUGCUGUUCUCCACAGCGGCUGCACCAAUUUACAUGCCCACCAACAGUGCAGGAGGCUCCCUUUUCUCCGCACCUUCUCCAGCAGUUGUUUGUAGUGUAAAAUCCAUUCUUAACUCUGGGACCGUAAUUUGCUGAUAUAAGGGGGGUUAGGUAGACUGGGAUCAGACCAUGCAGGACACGUAGGACAUGGUAACAAUCAGAUUGAAGCAAAGCCCCUUUCACUCUCCAAAUGUAAAGCCACCCCUCAGGGCAAUUGCAGGCCGGGGUGACAGUUCUGGGAGGCAGCUUCCUACAGCUCACGGGAGAUCACCAAGUUUGUUUCAUUUU